rnacentral:rRNA from 1 species
UUCCGGUUGAUCCUGCCGGACCCCACUGCUAUCGGGGUGGGACUAAAACAUGCGAGUCGAGCGCCUUCAGGCCAUGGUGAAGGCGCGGCGAACGGCUCAGUAACACGUGGCUAACCUACCCUUUGGACGGGGACAACCACGGGAAACUGUGGCUAAUCCCCGAUAGAUGAGAAGGCCUGGAAUGGUUUCUCAUCUAAAAGGCGUUUAGACCAUGCUUUUAGGCGUCGCCAAAGGAUGGGGCCGCGGCCGAUCAGGUUGUUGGUGAGGUAACGGCUUACCAAGCCUAUAACCGGUACGGGCCGUGAGAGCGGGAGCCCGGAGAUGGGCACUGAGACAAGGGCCCAGGCCCUACGGGGCGCAGCAGUUGCGAAAACUCCGCAAUGCGCGAAAGCGUGACGGGGCUACCCCGAGUGCCAUCCGCUGAGGAUGGCUUUUCCACGGUGUAAGGAGCCGUGGGAAUAAGGAGAGGGCAAGCCUGGUGUCAGCCGCCGCGGUAAAACCAGCUCUCCGAGUGGUGGGGACGAUUAUUGGGCUUAAAGCGUUCGUAGCCGGCUCAGCAAGUCUUCCGUUAAAUCCAGCGAUCUAAUCGUUGGGCUGCGGAAGAUACUGUUGGGCUAGGGGGCGGGAGAAGCCGACGGUAUUCUCGGGGUAGGGGCGAAAUCCUAUAAUCCCGGGAGGACCACCAGUGGCGAAGGCGGUCGGCUAGAACGCGCCCGACGGUGAGGGACGAAAGCUGGGGGAGCGAACCGGAUUAGAUACCCGGGUAGUCCCAGCUGUAAACUAUGCGGGCUAGGUGUUGGGGCGGCCACGAGCCGCUUCAGUGCCGCACGGAAGCAAUUAAGCCCGCCGCCUGGGAA